rnacentral:rRNA from 1 species
AUGAACGCUAGCUACAGGCUUAACACAUGCAAGUCGAGGGGCAUCAGGGUGUAGCAAUACACCGCUGGCGACCGGCGCACGGGUGAGUAACACGUAUCCAACCUGCCCUUUACUCGGGGAUAGCCUUUCGAAAGAAAGAUUAAUACCCGAUGGUAUAACAUGACCUCCUGGUUUUGUUAUUAAAGAAUUUCGGUAGAGGAUGGGGAUGCGUUCCAUUAGGCAGUUGGCGGGGUAACGGCCCACCAAACCUUCGAUGGAUAGGGGUUCUGAGAGGAAGGUCCCCCACAUUGGAACUGAGACACGGUCCAAACUCCUACGGGAGGCAGCAGUGAGGAAUAUUGGUCAAUGGGCGAGAGCCUGAACCAGCCAAGUAGCGUGAAGGAUGACCGCCCUAUGGGUUGUAAACUUCUUUUAUAUGGGAAUAAAGGGUGCCACGUGUGGCAUUUUGUAUGUACCAUAUGAAUAAGGAUCGGCUAACUCCGUGCCAGCAGCCGCGGUAAUACGGAGGAUCCGAGCGUUAUCCGGAUUUAUUGGGUUUAAAGGGAGCGUAGGUGGACAUGUAAGUCAGUUGUGAAAGUUUGCGGCUCAACCGUAAAAUUGCAGUUGAUACUGCGUGUCUUGAGUACAGUAGAGGUGGGCGGAAUUCGUGGUGUAGCGGUGAAAUGCUUAGAUAUCACGAAGAACUCCGAUUGCGAAGGCAGCUCACUGGACUGCAACUGACACUGAUGCUCGAAAGUGUGGGUAUCAAACAGGAUUAGAUACCCUGGUAGUCCACACAGUAAACGAUGAAUACUCGCUGUUUGCGAUAUACAGUAAGCGGCCAAGCGAAAGCAUUAAGUAUUCCACCUGGGGAGUACGCCGGCAACGGUGAAACUCAAAGGAAUUGACGGGGGCCCGCACAAGCGGAGGAACAUGUGGUUUAAUUCGAUGAUACGCGAGGAACCUUACCCGGGCUUAAAUUGCAAAUGAAUAUGCCGGAAACGGCAUAGCCGCAAGGCAUUUGUGAAGGUGCUGCAUGGUUGUCGUCAGCUCGUGCCGUGAGGUGUCGGCUUAAGUGCCAUAACGAGCGCAACCCUUAUCUUCAGUUACUAACAGGUUAUGCUGAGGACUCUGGAGAGACUGCCGUCGUAAGAUGUGAGGAAGGUGGGGAUGACGUCAAAUCAGCACGGCCCUUACGUCCGGGGCUACACACGUGUUACAAUGGGGGGUACAGAAGGCCGCUACACAGCGAUGAGAUGCCAAUCCCUAAAGCCCCUCUCAGUUCGGAUCGAAGUCUGCAACCCGACUUCGUGAAGCUGGAUUCGCUAGUAAUCGCGCAUCAGCCACGGCGCGGUGAAUACGUUCCCGGGCCUUGUACACACCGCCCGUCAAGCCAUGGGAGCCGGGGGUACCUGAAGUACGUAACCGCAAGGAGCGUCCUAGGGUAAAACUGGUGACUGGGGCU